rnacentral:lncRNA from 1 species
AAUUCUAAACAUCCUCAGGAAAUGGAGAAUUCAACACCACUAGUUAUCAUAAAAAUGGAUGUUCAGUGGACUGUCGCAAUGAAGGUAACAGAAUCCCCAGUUUUCAGCUGGUCACAUGGCAGCCCAGAAUAAAGCCACAUCUCUCAGCCUCCCUUGCAGCUUGGUGUGCCAGUGCCGAAGCUUGGAUGAUGCUGUGGAGGAGUAAGUGUUCUGGGGCAGCUUCUGAGAACUUCCUUUAAGUGUCAGCUGCAUCUCCUUUGGCCCUCCUUUUUCGUCUUCUUCUUGAUCAUGGGAUAUGUGGAUGUAACUGCUGGAGUUCCUGUGACCAUGUUGGACCAUGCAGAUGAGGGCCUUGCUUAGGAGUGGGGAGUGGAGUCUGGCAGGAGCUGGGACCCUGUGUUCACAGGGCUGCGUAUUGCCCUGGACUUUUACAUGAGAGAGCUGAUGAACUGUGAUCUGUCUGUUAUUUUGGGUGUCGGACACUUCCAGCCAAAUGUGAUCCUGAUAGGAACGUCCUACAAAGUGAGCACUUUAAGUAUGGAGGGGACAAUAUACAGAGCAGUGAUGAGAAUGGAGAAUGGCAAUGAGG